GAUGAACGCUGGCUACAGGCUUAACACAUGCAAGUCGAGGGGAAACGGCAUUGAGUGCUUGCACUGAAUGGACGUCGACCGGCGCACGGGUGAGUAACGCGUAUCCAACCUUCCCGUUACUGCGGGAUAACCUGCCGAAAGGCAGACUAAUACCGCAUGUUCUUCGAUGACGGCAUCAGAUUCGAAGCAAAGAUCCGUCGGUAACGGAGGGGGAUGCGUCUGAUUAGCUAGUUGGCGGGGCGACGUCCCACCAAGGCGACGAUCAGUAGGGGUUCUGAGAGGAAGGUCCCCCACAUUGGAACUGAGACACGGUCCAAACUCCUACGGGAGGCAGCAGUGAGGAAUAUUGGUCAAUGGGCGGAAGCCUGAACCAGCCAAGUAGCGUGCAGGAUGACGGCCCUACGGGUUGUAAACUGCUUUUAUGCGGGGAUAAAGUGAGGGACGCGUCCCUUUUUGCAGGUACCGCAUGAAUAAGAACCGGCUAAUUCCGUG
rnacentral:rRNA from 1 species